UUUUGGARAGAAAAAAAAAAAGUAACAAGGUUUCCGUAGGUGAACCUGCGGAAGGAUCAUUACAGUAUUCUUUUGCCAGCGCUUAACUGCGCGGCGAAAAACCUUACACACAGUGUCUUUUUGAUACAGAACUCUUGCUUUGGUUUGGCCUAGAGAUAGGUUGGGCCAGAGGUUUAACAAAACACAAUUUAAUUAUUUUUACAGUUAGUCAAAUUUUGAAUUAAUCUUCAAAACUUUCAACAACGGAUCUCUUGGUUCUCGCAUCGAUGAAGAACGCAGCGAAAUGCGAUAAGUAAUAUGAAUUGCAGAUUUUCGUGAAUCAUCGAAUCUUUGAACGCACAUUGCGCCCUCUGGUAUUCCAGAGGGCAUGCCUGUUUGAGCGUCAUUUCUCUCUCAAACCCCCGGGUUUGGUAUUGAGUGAUACUCUUAGUCGGACUAGGCGUUUGCUUGAAAAGUAUUGGCAUGGGUAGUACUAGAUAGUGCUGUCGACCUCUCAAUGUAUUAGGUUUAUCCAACUCGUUGAAUGGUGUGGCGGGAUAUUUCUGGUAUUGUUGGCCCGGCCUUACAACAACCAAACAAGUUGACCUCAAAUACUAUAAAGUAACCCACGUCCC
rnacentral:rRNA from 1 species